rnacentral:rRNA from 1 species
GCUCUUAUGAAGUUAGCGGCGGACGGGUGAGUAACACGUGGGUAACCUACCCAUAAGACUGGGAUAACUCCGGGAAACCGGGGCUAAUACCGGAUAAUAUUUUGAACUGCAUAGUUCGAAAUUGAAAGGCGGCUUCGGCUGUCACUUAUGGAUGGACCCGCGUCGCAUUAGCUAGUUGGUGAGGUAACGGCUCACCAAGGCGACGAUGCGUAGCCGACCUGAGAGGGUGAUCGGCCACACUGGGACUGAGACACGGCCCAGACUCCUACGGGAGGCAGCAGUAGGGAAUCUUCCGCAAUGGACGAAAGUCUGACGGAGCAACGCCGCGUGAGUGAUGAAGGCUUUCGGGUCGUAAAACUCUGUUGUUAGGGAAGAACAAGUGCUAGUUGAAUAAGCUGGCACCUUGACGGUACCUAACCAGAAAGCCACGGCUAACUACGUGCCAGCAGCCGCGGUAAUACGUAGGUGGCAAGCGUUAUCCGGAAUUAUUGGGCGUAAAGCGC